rnacentral:rRNA from 1 species
UACGUAGGGUCCAAGCGUUAUCCGGAAUUAUUGGGCGUAAAGAGCUCGUAGGCGGUUUGUCGCGUCUGCUGUGAAAACUGGAGGCUCAACCUCCAGCCUGCAGUGGGUACGGGCAGACUAGAGUGCGGUAGGGGAGAUUGGAAUUCCUGGUGUAGCGGUGGAAUGCGCAGAUAUCAGGAGGAACACCAAUGGCGAAGGCAGAUCUCUGGGCCGUAACUGACGCUGAGGAGCGAAAGCAUGGGGAGCGAACAGG